GAGGUUAAACAGUCUCGCUGAAAUCAUCCAGCAAGAACCACGGUGGAAACCAAAUCUGGCCUGCAGUUCAUUAGAGAGAAGGAUCUCCCUGCCAUCAUCUCACCUCUGUCUGAGGCUCCUCAGAGCACAGCGGACUAAAGUCACUGUCAUCAGUUGUUGACACCGAGGCCUCCUGACUGUCCAAGAUUAAAGGUCUGAGGUGAUUUGCUCCAAGCAGCUCUUGGGAUGCUGAGCAUCGAGGGUCAGGCACUUGUACCUCCACAUCUAAAUGUUGCAGCAUGGCUUGAAGCCUUCUCCUGAAGCUUCUACAACUUCACUCUGCUAUAUCAAGAGCAAGCUUCUC